rnacentral:sRNA from 1 species
CAAAAAGAUAAGACUUCGGAUUCACGAGCUUAACAAAACCACCAGGUGAGCCUUCAAUGGAUUGGAUCAUGCUUGCUCACACUGUUUGUAGAACUCUGACCAAAUGAGUAAGUCAAGGUGCUCCUGUGGACAGGAUAUACAUACUAAAAGAUGCCAAUGGGAUUCAAGGUGCAGCGUCUUUUUGUGAAGGUUUUCUCUUCUUGAAAAUCAGAUGCUUCUCAUUCAUAUAUUAGCUCAAAUAUUCCUGAAGAAAGUCUGUUAUUGCCCGUAGUGAAAUUGGUUUGGAGUCAUUGUCCACCAUAGCAUCUCAUAUCAUUUUCUUCAUGGCAAUUCCAGGCAUCCGAAAAUAUCUGCUUAUUAAUUUCUUAUAAAUUGGUGUCUGUGUCCUUACCUUA